UAUCACAAUGACAAACUUAUUCAAAAUGAUACCCGAGGGGAGCUGAAGAUCUCUGCAGUGUCAAAGUCUGAUGAAGGUUUCUACAAGUGUCAGUACUCAGGAAGAGAGUCAGCACAGAGCUGGAUGUCAGUUAAAGUAACUGUGUCAGGAGCUGACGGCUCUUCAUCUCCUGUGUGGUUGAUUGUUGGACUGGUUUGUGGAGUCUCUCUCAUUAUUAUUCUCCUGCUCUUGUUGUAUCGCUGCAGACAGUCCAAGUUUGCAGAUGAAACCCAAGAUGUCACAUAUUCUCUCAUUAAGCUUAAAGAUUUUGAAAAGAGGAGUAUGCAAAGCAAACAUUGUGUGGGGGAAAAAAUUUUUAUUAAUUAUUUUCUUUUGUGAAUUAAUCUGAUCAUCUUAACAGGGAAGCAUCACAAACCAGAGGAGUGUGUUAUUUACUCUGAGGUAAAGACAAGAGCUGCAGGUACAGUCACAACAGUCUCAGUCAGUGUUUGUACUUGAAUGUGUCAUCACAUCAUUAUAUUGCAGGUAAUUAUAGGUCAACAUGGAGUUUAGUUAUUCACUUACUAAUCAGUGUUUCAGCUUUACUGAAUCACAGCAUCCACAGAUUCUGACCCAGACCUCAAUCACAAAACACACUCAUGCAAAGCUGAAGUGUCACAGGCAACAAAUGAUUUUCACUUAGAUUUAUUUCACUGUAGUUGUAAAAAGUUUAAAGUCCAUAUGUAUCCAACAUGUUGGUAUCAUAUCUGUGCUGAACAAAUGUGUCCUGAGCUCUGACGUCUCUUUUAGAGGACAGUCUGAUGUAUGCUGAGGUCAAACAGCCCAAAAAAGAAAAAGCCAAGAAAAACAAAGGAAAAUCAAGUCCUGCAGCUGAUGCAGCAGUUUAUUCUGAAGUCACAUCAGGAAGCUCUUUCAGUCAGUGAGGAGAGCUGUAGCAGCAAAGCCAAGAAGAAGCUUUUUAUGAAGCCACUCUUGCUCCUCUGAUAUCUAUGCUCUCAUUUUUAUGAAGAUUAUAUAUUUUUAAAAUACACUUUUUAAAAAGAAAUAUUCAUUGUUAAAGGUUUUGUAUAAAACUUUGAAUGUAUCCUGUUCCAACAGCUGCAAAAAAAAAAAUAGUUUGAAAUAUGUGAUCAUAUAUUUAUUUUUUUAAUAUAGCGCAACUUAAAGUCAGAGUUGUUUGCCAUGACUUUUGUUGCCAUGAAAACUGGAUACUGCUGGACUUCAGGUUUGCUCUGGCCAUUUUACUUUAGUUAUUUUGUUUGUCCUUUCUUAGUUUUAUCGUCUUUUGUUAUUCUAUUUGAGAAGGAUUUAUCUUUUAGCUCUUUUUAGAGUCAUUUUAUAUAUUGUGAAUAAAAUAAAUGUUCUUAUUUGCUACUCUUUUGGUUGUAAAAGACUUUUAUUGGUUACUUUCUAUUUUGCCUCUGGCUUAUUUUUAUCAACUGAAAAGCCUCAUGAUUUCCCAAAAAUGGGGAAACUAAUUAUGUGGUUUCAGCCAAAAGCCUUCCGUUUACGAGAUGUCUUUUUUCAUUGUAUCAGCACACAGCAGAGAGUAAACAAGGAGUUCAGACAAAAAGCACAGUGGAAAAAUCACUUUG
ensembl:lncRNA